GGCGACAAAGGCAAACCCGGUGCGAGCCGGGGACGCAAAGCCACGGGACCCACGCGGUCAGCCGGGCUACCGAAC
rfam:Arthrobacter sp. Leaf234 contig_1, whole genome shotgun sequence.